GUGGGUCCUUGCACCAUGCGCCAGACUGGUGCUCCGAUUCAUGUGUGGAGGUGGGCUCCAGCACCUUCUGCAGUGUCCCUGGGCACACGAAGACUGGGCCGGGUAGGUAGGUAGG
rnacentral:miRNA from 14 species